AAAUGAAUAGACGGGGGCCCGCACAAGCGGUGGAGCAUGUGGUUUAAUUCGACGCAACGCGAAGAACCUUACCAGGCCUUGACAUGGCGGCAGAUGCGCAAGAGACUGCGCAGCCCUUCGGGGUGCCGCAACAGGUGGUGCAUGGUUGUCGUCAGCUCGUGUCGUGAGAUGUUGGGUUAAGUCCCGCAACGAGCGCAACCCUUGUUGUUAGUUGCCAGCAUUAACGGUGGGCACUCUAAUGAGACUGCCGGUGACAAACCGGAGGAAGGUGGGGAUGACGUCAAAUCAUCAUGCCCUUUAUGGCCUGGGCUACACACGUGCUACAAUGGCCAGUACAGAGGGAAGCCAAGGAGCGAUCCGGAGCAAAUCCCAAAAAGCUGGUCCCAGUUCAGAUUGCAGGCUGCAACUCGCCUGCAUGAAGUCGGAAUCGCUAGUAAUCGCAGAUCAGCAUGCUGCGGUGAAUACGUUCCCGGGCCUUGUACACACCGCCCGU
rnacentral:rRNA from 1 species